rnacentral:rRNA from 1 species
UACGAAGGGGGCUAGCGUUGCUCGGAAUUACUGGGCGUAAAGGGUGCGUAGGCGGGUCUUUUAAGUCAGAGGUGAAAUCCUGGAGCUCAACUCCAGAACUGCCUUUGAUACUGAGGAUCUUGAGUUCGGGAGAGGUGAGUGGAACUGCGAGUGUAGAGGUGAAAUUCGUAGAUAUUCGCAAGAACACCAGUGGCGAAGGCGGCUCACUGGCCCGAUACUGACGCUGAGGCACGAAAGCGUGGGGGAGCAAACAGG